UACUAUGCACUCCUUUAGAGUUUAUCUAACUGGCUUUUUUCUUCAUAGCUCUAGUUACUUACCAUCUUAUGGCACAGGGAGUGAUGCUAGAGCUGUGCCUUGUUGUCUUCUGUGAGACCACCCUCGGGUGACACUGUCCUUUCAGCUGCUGAUGCUUCGCAUUCCAGGCUUAAAGGAAGGACACUUGUGUGGAUUAAAAGUAAACCAGUGACUCUCACAGCUGAAAUUCUUGGAAGCUACAAGGUACUGAAAAUUGUGGAGCUACAAGGCCUCCAGAGCAGAAUGAAGCCACUGAUCUCCAUACCAGAUACCAAGCCCAGUGCCAUGUUUAUGGGUGUCAUGUGACGAGUAUGUAUUAGACUGAGGUCACCUAUAAAGAGACUACAGUGACUUGUCAACAUUUACCAGGUGACCUGGCAUGCGAUGAAGAACCUACCAUCAUUGCUUUCUGGAGCAUCUUACUCUUAGGGAGCAAGUGCAAAUAGGCUGCCAGGAGCCAGAGGACAUCAGUGACCCAUCAGCAAGACUCUUAUCCUUGGUAAGAAAGAGCACUGAGCUCAGUACCCAGACAGGAAUUCUCCCUGUUCCGCUGUGAGGUGUGUGGAAGUUCUACUUCUGGAAUACAGUGUCUGCACAGCCCUCUGCCCUGAAACUCAAUGGUUCUCUGACAUAGCCUAUCUUUGGAAGAGGCGGCAUUGUUUAUUUAAGUCAUGUAUGGUUCAAACCAGAGGGAAGACAUUCUGUGGUUGAUUCCAGUGAUGGUGGCAAAACUCCGAGUGGACUCACAGCCAUGGAGUUGUAGAUUUUAAAUUGGUGAAUGGUGUGGUGAAUGACCUAUCAAUAAAGCUGCUGAAAACAAUAAAUGCAUAUACAAAAUUAGAAAAACUCACAUACUGUGCUUCAUUGGAGCAUUGUUUCUCAGAAAAACAGGAGCCGAGGAUUGAUACUAGGAUUGAUACUAAAGGAUAAAGUAAAAUUGGACUGAGUACUGUGAAUAUUCUUCUGAGCUGCAGCAUGAUGUAAGAAGAAUUAUCUUGUGGAGAAACUGCGUGAUGUGCUCUUCUGAACAGAGCUUCUCUCCAGCAAGCUUGUCUCCCCUUGCCGACUUUAGUGCAGGUUCACAGGACAGAAAUUGUUUCUGCUUCUUUAGAAGGUUUCUGCCAAUCCUUUGGACUCCACACCCUGAAAGACCUUUCCUGUUGCCAGUUUCCUUCCCAUUUUACAGAUGCAUAAACUGAGUGGGGAAAUGAUAAGUUAUUUACUCCUGCCUGAUCAUCCAGGUACUGAUGGAAUGAAUUUAGAGUCUAGAUGCCCACGUCCUUACUAAAUGGCAUGAUGAUUAAAAAACAACACUUUAAUUUGAAAUAUUUUAACACAACCAUGUCUUAUGUAGACAUGGAACUUGCAACUUAUCCUAUGUUUUUGGGUUCAAAUCUCACUGUAUGAGUCCAAUGCAUACAUAUUUUGCUCUUGCACUUUUUGUUUGCCAGGCUUCUUUGCCCUAAUUCAGGAUUUUAAAAUAGAUCAUCACUGCUAGAUAAUAAGAUUGCUAGGGUCAAUAUGUAAAUGAAGGAUACCAUAUUUUCCUUUUAAAAAUACAUGCACAGAUACAAAAUGAAGAAACAGACAUGCAGAGUAAUUAAUUUUUCUUAAAACAUCUGAAUCUUUCCUGUAUCUUUAGACCCCAGUCUGUUGAAAGUCUUUGAGGUAAUUUUUGUCAAAGUGAAAUCAGGUUUGGAAAUCUCUGGCUCCUUUUGCUAAAUGAGGUCUUGUUAAGUGAGCUCAGGUGUCUGUUUGCCUAGUAUCGAUGCCAUGUGUGAGCUUGCUGUCCCGUGUCACACUGCCCCUCAGGACCUCCCUCCCAUUCACCCAGGUAGCAGCCAUAUGUAGUGAAGCAAAUUUUGCAAAUAAUGAUAAUAUUGUGUAGGUGUUGAACUACGUAUCACUCAAAAGGCAUUGUGCACACAUUUCAUUUUUUGGACAGGAAGUUUCUAUUUAGUCUAUGGUUUUGGGUAUGAUUGGGAGCUGGUUUCUUAUUCAGAAGCUGACAAUGGCAUAUUUACCACCUUGCUUAUUUUCUUGGGGUUUUUGGCUAUUCCAUCUAGGCACCUGCUUUAGCAGGUGCACCUCAUCAGCAUCCGGAUGAUGCAAGGACUGAGCUGCUCAAUCAGUGCUGACUGAGAAACCCCAGUCACUUUCCUUUGAGAAAUACCUUCAGAGUAGUUGCCUAAACCCUCAAUUUGACUAUUAUCUUCUUUUGAAGUUCAGUAAUGUCUCCAAUGUUUAGGUUUUAUUGGUUUUGUUCUGUACUGUUAUGUUCAAUUUUAUUAUUCCUGAUGAUAUAGGCAAUUCUUUUUAAGGUAGCAAGGGGUAUUAUGGUAACCAUCAUUGAUUACCUGGUAUUCUGUUUUUACAUCAUGUACUAUGUCCAUCCUUUAUUUUGACUGACUCUGCUUUGUUUUGUCACAUUUGGUCUUAUUCUCUUCCAAAAAAUGUAGUAAGAACUGUGGUAGUAAUAAAACCCAAAAUGUUUAAAUGUUAUUGUAAAAAAGAGAGGAAAAUAAAGUGCUCUAAAGGACACAA